CUGCUGUGUCCACCCUUCUUCAGUACCCGACAACUGAACCUAGGCUCAGAAGGAAAAGCAGACAAACCACACAGUUCCGGUGUAUAUCCAUAGGCUUUCUAUAUCAGAAUUUUCUAUUCGGAGACUGACCUGAAUGGACCCCUGUCAAUGGGAUCCCUUGGCCAUUGUGGGUCACUGGCAGAAGAUUUGAAGUUGGAG